CUUUUGGUUCAACCUGAGAGUUUGAUCCUGGCUCAGAACGAACGCUGGCGGCAGGCUUAACACAUGCAAGUCGAACGGUCUCUUCGGAGGCAGUGGCAGACGGGUGAGUAACGCGUGGGAACAUACCUUUCGGUACGGAACAACAGUUGGAAACGACUGCUAAUACCGUAUACGCCCUUCGGGGGAAAGAUUUAUCGCCGAGAGAUUGGCCCGCGUUGGAUUAGCUAGUUGGUGGGGUAAUGGCCUACCAAGGCGACGAUCCAUAGCUGGUCUGAGAGGAUGAUCAGCCACACUGGGACUGAGACACGGCCCAGACUCCUAC
rnacentral:rRNA from 1 species